rnacentral:rRNA from 1 species
AGAGUUUGAUCCUGGCUCAGGAUGAACGCUGGCGGCGUGCCUAACACAUGCAAGUCGAACGAAGCACUUUCCAGAUUCUUCGGAUUGAAAGAAUUGUGACUUAGUGGCGGACGGGUGAGUAACGCGUGGGUAACCUGCCUUACACAGGGGGAUAACAGUUAGAAAUGACUGCUAAUACCGCAUAAGCGCACAGUACCGCAUGGUACGGUGUGAAAAGAAUUUCGGUGUAAGAUGGACCCGCGUUAGAUUAGCCAGUUGGCGGGGUAACGGCCCACCAAAGCGACGAUCUAUAGCCGGCCUGAGAGGGCGACCGGCCACAUUGGGACUGAGACACGGCCCAAACUCCUACGGGAGGCAGCAGUGGGGAAUAUUGCACAAUGGGGGAAACCCUGAUGCAAGCGACGCCGCGUGAGUGAAGAAGUAUUUCGGUAUGUAAAGCUCUAUCAGCAGGGAAGAAAAUGACGGUACCUGACUAAGAAGCCCCGGCUAACUACGUGCCAGCCGCAGC